ACCGUUAUGGAUAUAAUUUAUACUGAAUUUACAAGAUACUCUUCUUUAUAAUAAAAUUUCAUAAGGGCAGAAAAGUAAUAACAUAAUUGUAAAAGACCUAAAAAGAAAAAAUGUUGGGAAAAAGCAAAGAAAAGCUUCAGACUUUAGUUUCUCUUCCUCCCUUCUUCUCUGUUCGAACGAGUGACUUCUAAACCCUACCUCCGUUACUCUCAAUCUCUCACUCGUCGCCGACGCCGUUGCUCGCCGCAUCUGUCAGCCGCCAUCGCCAUCGCUUUUCUGGUUACCGGUAUGUCUGCCUAUGCUCUAAUGUGCAUUUCCAGUUCUAUUUCCAUUUCCCCCUUCAUUCAUCUUCGCUUCCCUCCCUCUCUCUCUCUCUCUCUCUCUCUCUCUCUCUCUCUAUGGCACUAUGGGUGUGGGGACUGGGGACGGGGAAUGAGAAGUAGUAGCAUGAUUGAUUACUGGGUCUGGGAGUAAACCCAGAAGCAUAUUAAAUUUGUUUGCCUAUCAGCCUCCAUCGUCAUUUGGAUCUGAUGAAACACUUCUGCUUUAAUUUGUUUUCCUUUUUUGUCUUUUUUUGGCCUUUUUUAUUAGGCAUGCGUAAGUGUAACAAUGAAUACGAAAGCUGUGUGGAAAU
rnacentral:lncRNA from 1 species